GAUGAACGCUGGCGGCGUGCCUAAUACAUGCAAGUCGAGCGACCAGAUGAUAAGCUUGCUCCUCUGCCGUUAGCGGCGGACGGGUGAGUGACACGUGGAUAACAUACCUCUAAUACUGGGAUAACUUCGUGAACCCGGAGCUAAUACCGGAUAAUAUAAUGAACCGGAUGGUUCAAUAGUUAAUGACGGUUUUGCUGUCUCUUAUAGCUGGAUUCGCGUCGGAUUAGCUAGUUGGUAAGGUAACGGCUUACCAAGGCGACGAUGCGUAGCCGACCUGAGAGGGUGAUCAGCCACACUGGAACUGAGACACGGUCCAGACUCCUACGGGAGGCAGCAGUGGGGAAUAUUCGACAAUGGGCGAAAGCCUGAUCGAGCAAUGCCGCGUGAGUGAAGAAGGUCUUCGGAUUGUAAAACUCUUUUGUUAGGGAAGAAAAACAGUAGAAUAAUACACGGACGUUUUGACGGUACCCAAACAGAAAGCACCGGCUAACUUCGUG
rnacentral:rRNA from 1 species